rnacentral:lncRNA from 1 species
GCAUGCUCAUUUUAAAGUACAAGAAAAAAAACGUAAAACGUUCGAUGACAAAUAUAUAAACCUACAGAGAGGAUGAAUCAGGAUUCAGUAAUCCAAAUGUAUCAUGGGAUAAUGCUUGUUGGUAACAUUGUAGGGAGGGCCUAAAUAACUAAUAGUGGACAGUUGAGUCUUGGUGGCAAUACUGCGAUGGUAGGAUUCCACCAGAGAAAAUUGUAAAGAAAGUAAUCACGAAAAGUAUGCUCAUGUAUUUAGGCAUUUUCAUCUUCUACUGAUUAG